ACAAUUCGUAUCACCGCGUAAUGCAUAGAUAGCUGAUUACCGUUGGUGCGUUAUCUUUACUCCGCGACUCCCUCUACGAGCGCAAGUCCGAGAUGGAUCUAGUUUUCAGCCGAUGUUCGUUUCCAACGAGGCAACAGUCCGCCAAGAGCAGCAAAGACGUGUACAACACCUUUCACAAACUCCUCUAAUCCAAACGUCGGUCGUAAGACAAAUCUCGUUAAAUAAUGGACAAUAAGGGCAACCCACCUCCCGGUUUCAUGCCACCACCGGCUUACGGUCCACCACAACCAGGUCAACCCUCUGUGGUGAUCGUCCAGGCUCCAGCUUUGGGACCAGAAACGGCAGCAAUGACCUGCCCCCACUGCCGUGCAAAUAUUUCAACCCGUGUCGAACAAUCAUCGUCAACUAAGACUCACCUCUUUGCUCUGCUUCUCUGCGUGCUUGGGUGCUGGCCUUGCGCUCCCUGCCCAUACUGUAUGGACAGUUGCUUGACCAAGAAGCAUUUUUGUCCAGCUUGCAACGCAUUCAUUGGAGAAUACAGCAAUUAGGCGCGAUGAAUAUUUAAUUAACUGUGCCUAUAUAUAUAAAUAUAUAUAUUUACACAUAUAUAUAUAUCCACUAUUUCAUUCAGAGCUGACGGUAUUCACAAAAAAAAAGAACUAUAACAACGAUAUACCAAUAUAAAAUAAUAUUAAAACUGAAAAAAAUACAAAAAAAAAAAAAUUACAAAUAUAUAAUGAAUAAACGAAAAAUCCAUUUCGAAACAAGAAAUAAUUAUACUAUACUCGCCUAUGGCGUACACGCCCAUGUAAUGACAUUAUAUAAAGAUAUAUACUUAUAUAAAUAUAUUACAUAUAUAUUUCUUAUACGAAAAACAGAUAAGAUGAAAGAAUAAUACUUUAAUAUAAUAAAAGUGAAACAAAAGGAAAGUAACUAACAAAAUAGAGUAUAUGAAAUAGAAAAAAAAACAAACAAUAUGAAUAAAAUAAAGUUCAUCGGUCAAGUAAUAUGAGUUAUUAUACUAAUGAAACUGGUUCAUUUGAAAAAAAGAACAAUAUUUACUCAAUGUUUGCUAGUUCCGUUUUAAUUAGGUAUUCAUUUACCAAAUUAAUACAUACCAACCACAUGUCAGAAUUCCAAAAAAAUAUACACAAAAAUGUUUGACGUACUGUUUUUCAGUACAAGUAUAGUCGGCGAGAAAACUGUACUGUUAUUAUAACUCAUAUUAUGUUAAGCUGAAAAAAUAACUCUUUACAUUUUUUCUUUUAAUUUUUGUUUUUUAUCAUUACUAUAAUUUCCUACUUUUUUUUUUUAUUAUAUUUAAUUUUUUUCUCGAUUCAUAUUUGCGUAUUCAUACUCUUAUGUAUUACGUAUACCUCUCCACGAUUAUAUCCUCUAUAUGAAAAUUACAAGAUAAAAAACAAACAAACAAAACUGCGCACGCU
rnacentral:misc_RNA from 1 species